rnacentral:pre_miRNA from 1 species
UUCCUCAGUGAGAACCAGGAUGUGGGGAGUGUAGCCUAGCUCGAGAGAUUGAUUUGAUACUAAGGCUACGCACACAAGGUUGUGAUCACAGCUUUGUCUCGGACCAGGCUUCAUUCCCCUCAGUGUGGUGCUCACU